rnacentral:rRNA from 1 species
AUGCAGGUUUGUGGCGUUCAGUUGAGCUCAGCAACAUCUCGGUGGCGAGAAUCAUGGCCGCCAUUUGGUGGAUCCUACGAGUGUGCUGGACAUAGCUGUUGCAUCUCUGGGAGUCAAAGACCGUCAUGUAGAGUACAAUGCUGUCAGGUGCCACGUUGUACUGGAAAUGUAGCUCAUCUUCAGAAGGAGGACAAAUAUUCUUGUGUUGAUAGGUCAACUUCUUACCUGCACGUGCAAACUCUUAGGAAUUUCCCAAUUGAAAAACUUUAUGGAGAGGUGGUCCUGGUGCGACUUGAUUCUGUACUUCUUUUAGAUCCUCUAGGACUAUUUAGUUGCUCACGGAAAAGGACACUGUCAACUAUCAAAUACCUGUACAAAGCAGGAGGGAAAGUUCUUCUAGUUACCAGUUGGGAUCCAGUCCUCCAAUCUGUUAAUCCAGUGCUCAAGUCAACCGAAUCUUUUGCAGAGUACAUGUCAUCGCUUCUUCAAGUAAAGGUCAUCCCAGUGAAUGGUGUCCCUUGUUUAACAUCAUGUAAGAAGGAAGAACGGGUGCAGAAUGAUAUUAUCUUGUUUGAAAAUCUUUUGAACUUCAGGGGAGAAAAUGCAAACUGCAAUGAUUUUUCUCAGAAGCUAGCUUCAGGUGCAGCAAUCUUUGUCAAUGAUUCUUUCUCAUUGUCUCAUAAGAUUCGCGCAUCAACGGUUGGCAUCACUCGUUUCUGCUACGCAUCUCUUGCUGGUUUCCAUUUUGAGGAGGAGCUUAUGCAAUUGCUAAAGAUCAAUGACUCCACAAGGCGCCCAUACAUUGCAAUAAUUGGAGGCAGUAACUUCUUGAGAAAGGGACCUGCACUGCAUCUGUUAGCCUCUCAAUGCGAUGAGUUGUUUCUUGUUGGAAAAUUAUCAUUUCAAAUAAUGAAUGGCCUUGGAAUUCCAGUGUCCUCCUGUUUGAUAGAAAAAAAUGCAACCAAGGAAGUGUUACAACUUAUUGAAAUAGCUCAUAAUAGGAACAUUCCUAUUUAUUAUCCAACAGACCUGUGGUGUUUGAACAGCAACAAUAAUGAACAACUGGAAAUAUUUGACUCAGCUGAACUAUUGUCUGGCUUAAUUUCUUUGGGCUGGACACCAGUUGAUAUAGGGCCAUCGACAUUGGAGAGAAUUUCUUCUUUAUUGUCAUCAUACAAGAAGAUCCUAUGGAUCGGUCCUACAAGCUUUGACUUGACAGAAGAAUUUUCUGUCGGGGCAACACAGUUGGGUCAGAUACUGAACAAAGCAAGUCAUAAUAGCUGCGACAUUAUUUUAGUAGGGGUUGCAGCAUGCAAGGCAGUAAAAGGAAUGUCAGAUUCUUCAUCACAAUAUACAGCAUUUGAAAAUGAAUCUAUUGUAUGGGAAUUUCUCAAAGGAGGAAUAUUGCCUGGUAUUGCAGCAUUGGAUAAAAGCUAUCCCUAUCAGAUUCCAUGGGAUGACGUCUUCUCUGACACCACACAACCAUUGUUUGUUGAUAUAGGAAGUGGAAAUGGUUUGUUUCUAUUCCAAAUGGCUAGAAACUGGGAAGGCUUGAAUUUUCUUGGGCUUGAGAUGAAUGAAAAGCUUGUUGUAAGGUGCCUUCAGGAUGUAACAUUAGCUGGGAAAAGAAACUUAUAUUUUCUAUCGACAAAUGCAACUUCCACGUUUCGCUCGAUAGUUUCAAGUUAUCCUGGACAGUUGACACUUGUCUCAAUACAGUGCCCAAAUCCUGACUUCAACAAAGAACAAAAUAGGUGGAGAAUGGUACGAAGGAUGCUUGUCGAAGCUGUUGCCGAUCUUCUUCAGGUCAAUGGAAAGAUCUAUUUACAGUCGGACGUGGAGUCUGUCCUGCUUGGAAUGAAAGAGCAGUUCAUCUCGCACGGCAAGGGCCAGCUCGUGGUGGACAGCGAUGGCCGGAUGGAGAACCCAUUUGGCGUGGUGUCCGACUGGGAGCGCCAUGUCCUGGCUCGUGGAGCUCCAAUGUACAGAACGAUGCUACGAAAAGUGUGA